AUGAUUUCCCAAAGUGUUAGAGCUGAAGUGUGUUUCCUUGUGUAUAUAUACUGUGGUUCCUUUAUCCCUUCAUCUGUGGAUAGACAGGUGCAACCGUGUGGUUCCCCACGAUAUGAUUUCAUUGUGGUUUUCUGUCUGAAGAGUAUCCCAGUAUGUACCUGUGGAGCAGCUUCUUUAUCCCUUCAUCUGUGGAUAAGCAGGUCAUGUCCUCCAGGUUUCUGCACGUUGCUGCAGAUGACAUGAUUUCAUGAAUUUCUGCGGCCGAAGAGGAUUCCACUGCGUGCUGCAGUUUCUUUAUCCCUUUAUCUGUGCAUGAACAGUGCAGGCCAAGGCCCCCUGCCCAUGGAGGUGUGCUGCAGACAGCAGCAGCAGCAGCAGCAGCAGCAGCAGCAGCAGCAGAGGCCUGGCUUCCUGAGGAAUUGCUGGCCGGUUUGAGGAAGGAAGGAAGUCCCACCUACCAUGAUCACCCUCCAGCCUGGAGGAAGCUCCAUGCCAGCAGCAUGGACCAGCAUGGGAGCCAGAGCCCUGCUAAUGCUGCAGCUCAUCACCCCUGCUCAGCAGCCCAGCAGCCCAGCAGCCAUUGCCACAUCCCAUUUCCAGGGCCUCCUGCCCCCAUGCCCCCACGUGCCCAUGGACCGACACACCACUCUUCCUGUUGGCCCAAGGUAGGCAUGGAGGGAAUUUUUCAAGUCCACUUUUAGUAGGUAAGUCAAAACCAAACAAAAUAACCACUCGACACCUGGUCCAAUGCCCUUCCAAACUCACUCUUUUCUCUGACCCUUAAACACUUGUCCUGCAUCUCCCAGACUCCACUGUACCUUGAUCAGUAGGUCCCUCUUCACUGCAGUGUCUUUUUUGCAGAGUUCUUUUAGCUCUUUCAUGCUUUUGCUAUGGGCAGAGGAAAGAAAGAAGGGUAAAUUUGGGAAUCAGGGGAGAUUUGUGAGUUCCAGUCCCUUUUGUUUGAAAACCCAGUGAAUCCCAGCUUACUGGGUGAGAGUUUUCAGUGGAGUCCUCUGAUCACAGGGGCUCCAGAGGACCAGGGUGGGACCUCUCAUGCUCCUCCCCUGGGCCCCAUCUCCACUUCACAUGAGCCACUGCGUGUUUACAGUUAGCUUUCAGCUGGACACAGAGUUCCACUGCUGGGUACAAACACCUGAAAGCCUCCAGUUGGCUCCAGUCUGUUCCUGAUGGUUAAAAAACCUUAGUCCUGAGUUGGAAAUCCUUGCCUAGGAGUCCAGGGCAGCUUAGUGACCACAGCCACCGGCCCAUCCCUGCCUCCAGUGUCCCUGGACUCCAAGAACCUUUCAGAGUCAUUGAGGGCACAUGGGGGGAGACCUGUGAGUCCCUAGGUCAACCCUGAUGCUGCCAUGGAGAGAGCCCUCCUCACCUGGACACUCCUGCCCACGUCUUGUGUAGCUGACCUAUUGGGUUGCUGCACAGAGCAGAGACGAUGACGUGCACCGAGGAGAAGUUGUUGAGGCUUAGGCACUCCUGGAGAGGGAAGAAUGAGCUGUGCGGUUCAGAGUUGGAGCUUGGCCCACUACAGCCUCAGCCCCCUCUGCUGAGAUCUCCCCUCCUGGAUGAAGCAGAGGCCUGGGGAGCCUCAGGAGGGCAGACCUGGGGCCGAGUGGAUGUCACUCAUCUAGGAGGAUUUUAGUUCAACCCAAGGAAGACCCCAGGUCGGAAGUGAGCAGCCACCACUGGGCCGUGGGAGUCAAGUCUGGAGAAACAGCUACGGCCAUCCCAGCCCUGGCCAAGGGGAAAAUGCCGGAAGACUCCAGGGUGGGAGGAAGCGCGUCCCAAGGCCCAGGAUCUGCGAGGCGACUUGGGGAAAACGCAGGACCUGCUGAAGCUCACACCCGUGGACCACCCAGACUGCCUGCCGCUACAGGAUGCCCUCCGCAUCUCCCAGGACUUCUUUCCGGCAUCAGUGUGGACAUUGACCCCACUGGACUGCAGUCACAGUGGACUCCCAAGGGGCAGGAUCCACCUCUGAUGUUCAGUGAAGACUACCAGAAAAGUCUGCUAGAGCAGUACCAUCUGGGUCUGGAUCAAAAACUCAGAAAAUACGUGGUUGGAGAGCUCAUCUGGAAUUUUGCCGAUUUCAUGACUAACCAGUGUCAGCCCAAGACUACCCCGUCGGUCAUUCUGUUCCUGCCGUCCUGUGAGGAGCCCCAAGCCAACAAGGCCACACUGGUGUGUCUCAUGAAUAACUUUAUCCGGGAAUCUUGAUGGUGACCUGGAAGGCAGAUGGUACCCUCAUCACCCAGAGCGUGGAGAAGACCACGCCCUCCAAACAGAGCAACAACAAGUACGUGGCCAGCAGCUACCUGAGCCUGACGCCCGAGCAGUGGAGGUCCCGCAGAAGCUACAGCUGCCAGGUUAUGCAAGAAGGGAGCACCGUGGAGAAGUCAGUGGCCCCUGCAGAAUGUUCAUAGGUUCCAGCCCCCACCCCACCCACAGGGGCCUGGAGCUGCAGGAUCCCAGGGGAGGGGUCUCUCUCUGCAUCCCAAGCCAUUCAGCCCUUCUCGCUGUACCCAGUAAACCCUCAAUAAAUAUCUUUGUCAGCC
rnacentral:lncRNA from 1 species